CAGGCCCAGGAUGUAAACGAAAACCAGCCAAUUGAACGCUGGUCAAAGGUAACAAUUCCUUUCCACCUAUUGGAGGUUUCUCGAUCACAGAUCUUAACGAACUGAAAAAUACAGAGGAUUCAUUAAAAUACGAAUGAAAUAUUACCAGGGGGUUCCUUCAUUAAGUAAAAUGGUCCACUGUGAACGAUAGAUGGGUUUUUACCCAGGGAAAUGGUCGUUUUCAGUGUUCCUGUUGAAUCCUGACGUGAAACAACAGGAGAACGUGCACCCCUGGGUGAUGAUUUUGGUGAAUACUGCUCCACUUUGCUACGAAACUGAUCGCCCAUCAUCAUCCUUUGAUUUUACUUCAUGGCACCUUCACUAUAAUGAAUAGGCUCUAACAAAGAGCACAAAUAAUGCUUCUAAGCUUGCUUUGCCCAAUCGAUAUAUGUUCACACUAUACUAAUACAUCCAAGCACAAUUUGGUGCUAUGAUAAAAUGCACAGUCAAUGCAUAACCUUCAUAUUAUCAUAUGCACAUACCAUGCAACACAAUAACAAUGGGAAUACAACAUUUGUUAAACUGCAUGGUAAAUCCACAAUAUGUGAGAAAUGUCUGAUAAAUUUGUCAAUUCAACUUUUAUAGGACAUAUAUCAUAAGGUUGUGUAAUUUGUUUCUGAUUAUAAUUUACUCUUCCAUGAAUUAAUUGACAUAUUAACUGAUUGUUUUAUCAUUCAUUUAGUUUGAACUGCAGGGUACAGUUCACGGAAAAUGAAACAGUUGCUGUCACCAGUGAUAUUUCUCAAAGAAUAUUAGUUUUUAAACCAACAGUCAAUUACAAUUUUACAUGGUUAUAGUGUUUCUUUAAAUAAAUACAUGAUAUAAAUAUUAUGUAUAAA